UACGUAGGGGGCAAGCGUUGUCCGGAAUCAUUGGGCGUAAAGCGCGUGUAGGCGGCCCGGUAAGUCCGUUGUGAAAGUCAAAGGCUCAACCUUUGAACGCCGAUGGAUACUGCCGGGCUAGAGUCCGGAAGAGGCGAGUGGAAUUCCUGGUGUAGCGGUGGAAUGCGCAGAUAUCAGGAGGAACACCAAUAGCGAAGGCAGCUCGCUGGGACGGUACUGACGCUGAGGCGCGAAAGCGUGGGGAGCGAACAGG
rnacentral:rRNA from 1 species